GUUUAUAAUCCUCCUUCACCUUCACCACCACCACCACCACUUCCUCCAUCGCCUCCUCCGCCCGUUUAUUCACCUCCUCCGCCUCCUCCGUCACCUCCACCUCCCGUUUAUUCACCUCCUCCGCCUCCUCCGUCACCUCCACCUCCCGUUUAUUCACCUCCUCCGCCUCCUCCGUCACCUCCACCUCCCGUUUAUUCACCUCCUCCGCCUCCUCCGUCACCUCCACCUCCCGUUUAUUCACCUCCACCUCCUCCUCCACCCCCACCACCUGUUUAUUCGCCACCACCUCCUCCACCCCCACCACCUGUUUAUUCGCCACCACCUC
rnacentral:lncRNA from 1 species